CCAUGUAUAGGUAAACUUAUCGAAAGAUAAGGACACGAAGCUAUAGGGCCUAAGGAUUAUAUCUAAGGUUGCCAGUUGCCAAAA
rnacentral:ncRNA from 1 species